CCUGUUGUGUGUGUGUGGGUGGGGGCUCUUCACUCACUCACUCACUCACUGAUGGAAACUUGCCAGGGGAAAGAUGGGCGUCACUCACUGAUGGCAUCUUGCCAGGGGAAAGAUGGGCACCACUCACUGAUAGCAUCUUGCCAGGGGAAAGAUGGGCACCACUUACUGAUGGCAACUUGCCAGGGGAAAGAUGGGCACCACUCACUGAUGGUAACUUGCCAGGGGAAAGAUGGGCACCACUCACUGGUGGCAACUUGCCAGGGGAAAGAUGGGCACCACUCACUGGUGGCAACUUGCCAGGGGAAGGAUGGGCACCACUCACUGAUGGCAACUUGCCAGGGGAAAGAUGGGGACCACUCACUGGUGGCAACUUGCCAGGGGAAAGAUGGGCACCACUCACUGAUGGCAACUUGCCAGGGGAAAGAUGGGCACCACUCACUGAUGGCAACUUGCCAGGGGAAAGAUGGGCACCACUCACUGGUGGCGACUUGCCAGGGGAAAGAUGGGCAGCACUUACUGAUCCCCUUUCUUACCUUCUUUUUCUGGCUCUCUCUCUGGUCUUGUGAAAGCUAAAGAAGAGAGCUGCCAGUAUUUCCAUCUCCGAUCGAAUUAAAUGUACUUUGUCUGAUAUAUUUGAAAAUAAGGUAAAACUUUUGGGAGGCCUCCUUCAGAAACUUAAUCCGGAUGGACACUACACAACUUUCGAAAUCCUAACAUCUCUGAGCCUGUCACAUUAAAGACUAUCGUUCCUGUAGUUUUUUGUUUUGCCAACAUAGUGGUGCACACAAAAUUAUCUGUCACAGACAGGCUGUCAUACACUACAAGAUUCUUUAUUUGGUUGUGAGGAUUUUCGAAACCACGCUGUCCCUAGAAACCGCAACGAGAUUUUGUCACGAGCCAGACAGUGGCAAAACUAAGAUGGAGCUAGACAGUGAACAGCAGCUGGCCACACUUGUUGUGUGUGCGAGGAUUUGCACGGAGAAACACAAGAAGAAAAGACUGGGAAUUUGGGUGAGGCCAUGGUUGGGGAGACGUGGUCUGUACUGCAGAGAGAGUUGGAGGUAAAUAAAGCCCAAUCCACACAGCUAGCUAGCCUGCUAAUUUAUGUUUUCAUACAGUGCAUGUAGUAUGUCCUAAUAUCACUCAAAUAACCAAUAACAAGUACAGGUAUGAGAUGGGCAAUCACUGUGAGGGAGCGGCUGUCUCAGUUUUUGAACAUAAACAUUUUGGCACAUUAUUGUUUUGUCUAUUGAAUAUAUAUGUGUGCAUUUUAUAUUUUCUAAAUGUUUGUCUUUUCUUGUGAAGGUGAAACGUUCAAAUCCCAAUACAGGAUUGGGAACACCACUGUGUCCAAUAUUGUUAUGGAGACAUGUGAAGCCCUGCAUCAGGUCAUGAAGGAAGAAUUCCUGAAUACACCAGCAUCGGAGGCUGAAUGGCAGGCAAUUACCAAAUAUUUGAAGAGAAAUGGCAGUUUCCGCAUUGCCUGGGUGCCCUUGAGUUUUUCAUACAACCCCCUAGCCAACAGUGGCAUUAUGUAUCACUACUACAUGUCUAGGUUCCCCAUCCUCAUGAUGGCUGCUGGGGAUGCAAACUAUGAGUUUAUGUUAUGCCAGUGUGGGCACCCAGAGCACAAUCUCCAAUGCUGGGCUGUUUUCUCACUCUGACUGCAGAAAAGCAAUGGACUGGGGCCUUCUAAAUGUUCUGCCACCUGAGCCACUAACUCAAACGUUGUGGUUCUGUACAUGUUUGUGGGGGAUGAGGCAUACCCCCUAUGGACUGACCUGAUAAAGCCCUAUCCGUAUCGACAGAUGGACCACGACCAGAGAAGCCGCAACUAUCGCCUCAAGGGCAUGGAGAGUAGUUGAAAAUGCCUUUGGCAUCCUCACUAACAGGCUGAGGUUGUUUAGGUCCACCAUUUACCGUGAACCAGACAAGGUUACGAAGAUCACCAUGGCCUUCCUCUGCAUACACAACUUCCUCAUAGAGCGUAGGUCUGAGGCGUACACACCAUCAGCAUUUGCAGACUGGGAGGAUGCUGACCACUGGGUCAUCGAGGGAGCCUGGAGGAGACAUGGACUGUGGAGCCUGGAAGGAGAUGUUAACCCCACAAUCAGUGCAAAAGAAUAACGCAACCUGCUAAGGGAUUAUUUUGUAUCACCUGCAGGUCAGGUUCCAUGGCCGGAGGAUCACAUUUAAGUAAGUCAUGGACGCAAUGGCUGUGUUCAUAUUCUGUUGGAAGGCAGCCAUGCUUUACUGUGUAGCCUAAUGUCUAAGAAUGAAUGUAGUUACCACUAUUGAGUCUUGACUGGCAAAUGUGAUGACAGCUGUACUUUCUUUUUCAAUACAGUAAUUGAAAUAAAGUUAUAUUAAAGGCAUUUUCAGU